GACGCGAACGUUUCCUUCGGGAAGCUAGUAGAGUGGCGCACGGGUGAGUAACGCGUAAGUAAUCUACCCUCGCAUCUGGGAUAACCCACCGAAAGGUGUGCUAAUACCUGAUACGUCUGGAAUUAUACUUUGAGUCCAGAGAAAGGUGGCCUCUUCAUGAAAGCUACUGUGCGGGGAGGAGCUUGCGUACCAUUAGCUAGUUGGUAGGGUAACGGCCUACCAAGGCGAUGAUGGUUAGCGGGUCUGAGAGGAUGAUCCGCCACACUGGAACUGAAACACGGACCAGACUCCUACGGGAGGCAGCAGUGAGGAAUAUUGCGCAAUGGGGGCAACCCUGACGCAGCGACGCCGCGUGGAUGAUGAAGGCCUUCGGGUUGUAAAAUCCUGUCAGAUGGGAAGAAGUGCAUCAUGUUUAAUACAUGUGGUGUUUGACGGUACCAUCAAAGGAAGCACCGGCUAACUCCGUGCCAGCAGCCGCGGUAAUACGGAGGGUGCAAGCGUUGUUCGGAAUUACUGGGCGUAAAGCGCGCGUAGGCGGCUAUUCAAGUCAGAUGUGAAAGCCCGCGGCUCAACCGUGGAAGUGCAUUUGAAACUGUGUAGCUUGAGUACUGGAGGGGGUAGUGGAAUUCCCGGUGUAGAGGUGAAAUUCGUAGAUAUCGGGAGGAAUACCGGUGGCGAAGGCGACUACCUGGCCAGAUACUGACGCUGAGGUGCGAAAGCGUGGGGAGCAAACAGGAUUAGAUACCCUGGUAGUCCACGCCGUAAACGAUGUCAACUAGGUGUUGGGAUGGUUAAUCGUCU
rnacentral:rRNA from 1 species